rnacentral:lncRNA from 1 species
GACAGCUGAAUCAACGCAAGUGUCUUGUCCCAUAGACAUUAUCCUGAGACAUACAAGACUGACCAUGUAUGCAGUUGUUACUCUGCAAGAUUCAGAUGAGGUGAUGGUGGUAGCAUCAAACUGGCUGAGCCUCGACAAGAAACAAUGUUACUGGCCCCCAUUCAGAUCACCAGACAAGUGCAUGGAAGCUGUUCAGAACAGAAUUAAAGCUGAAACAGGAGGGAAACCAUGGGAGAAAUUAAAUAUUAGCUUUCACAGAGACUAUGUCACUUUUGAGAAGGCAAAAGAGGAGCAACAAGAAAUUAAAGAACGGAAAGAACGGCCAUAUCUAUUAGCCACUGGAUUCCCUGGAAUGCUAAAAAGACAAAGACUUGAAUGCCCUCAAGAAAUGUUAAAACAACAACUUCCUCCUGCACCAUCUGCAUCUACAUCCAGAAUGUCAGCUGAUGACAAGGAUGAGCUCCUCCAAACGCUGAGAGACAUCAAGAGCACAGUUCAGCAAAACUCUGCUAUGUUAAAGAAACUACUAAAAGACAAUGCGGUUUCUGAGGUCCCCAGCAGUACCAGCAUUCCUCAUAAAGACGUUAAAACAAACCUAAAACUGCCUCUUAGAACCAUUAAAGAUGUGGCCAGGACUGAAAGACAGCUCACAAAGAAUGCAACAACACGCCAAAAAUAUGUAAGAUAUCUGUCAAGACUUGGAGGUUUUGGGCAAAAGGAUGUGAUUAAGAAUAUUAUGCAGCAUGUCCUAACAGAUGAUCUGGCCACAAAGUUUAACUGGCAGGGGAGAGGAAAUAAAAAGCCCUUCUCUAAGCUUAUUUUAACAGAUGUGAUCAGAGAGGCUGCAUCAAAACAAAGUGUAACGAGGAUAGACUGUGAAGCUGAAAUAAAAAAUUAUUUGUGGUCCAUAGCUGAUCGAAUCAGUCGGAAUAGACCAAGAGAUUGUGGAGGUGUGACUUCAGAUGUGACUUCUCCCACGCUGCUGGACAGUGGCUUCCAGUCAGUGUCUGGAAUGUCUUUUGACUGAGUUUUGGAACAUUUAUUCAUAGGUCGUGUAAGCUUAACUGCCUACACAUUAGACAUUCAUUUUGUAAAGCACAAUAUGUGUACUAAUCUAGCUUGCCACUGUGUACUUCAAAUAUUGGCUCUUGAGAUAAAAUGCUUAUAAUACUCAUAAUUUUGAAUCAGUGUAAAUAUAAAUAUAUAUGGUUAGGGUUAGGCAAGGGUUUUUAUAUUGUGGUAAUAUAAGAUAAGAUCCAUCAGCCUUUAGCUGACUGGAGGAAAUAAUGAAAAACUGGAGAAUGUGUUUCACUGUGGUAUCACUGCAUGCUAGGUUUUCAGGUGUAUUAUAGUAGUGGCUUUAUUUCUCUGUUCCAAUAAUGUUCCUUCCUUUCCUCAAUAACAAAUAACUCAAAUGCAAUUAGUUGUGGCGUUUAAUCCAAAUAGGCCAUUUCUUUACUUUUCAAUGUUACAUAGAUGAGAUGUAAUGAUUUCAUUUAAAAUAAACCAUAACCGCACAUAACAUUUAUCUUGCUUUUGCCUUUUUUCUU